GUCUCCGUCUCUGUCUCUGUCUCAGCUCCAGCUGCGGUUCGAUCCCCUCACUGCCUGGGUCCAGGUAAUCCGUGACUAAGUCAGAACCACACUCCACCGUGCAUGCUCCACAGAUGUUUGUGCCGUUCUCCGAGAUCUGCUCCUGCUCCUGCUCCUGCUGGGCGACGAUGAUGAUGGUGAUGAUGAUGGUGAUGAUGACGACUGAGCGCUCACAGCCAACCAGAGUCAAGCUGCCUCGCUGAUGAAGAGCUCCAUUGAUUAGAAUCGAGGUCUUGGAACACUGGAUCUUCUUCCCACGAGAGAACUCACACUGGCUGUAAAUAUAUCUGCUGUAAAAAGUUUGGUCUGCGGCAUCAGUCAGAGAGGUUUUGAAGGCCAUGACAUCCCAUCAUAAGGUCACUGCCAAAGCUUCAACAAACACACACCAAUGCUGGAUUGUGUGCUGCAGUUAUUCCACUCCACUUCACAUCAGCAUCAGUCAAUCAAAGCAGCCACUGGAGACUGCGCUCACCUCCUCAGAAAGUUCACAGCUUGUCUGAGUGCGUGGUUGCCUCUUGUUUGGACCUUC